UUGAAUUGAAGAGUUUGAUCAUGGCUCAGAUUGAACGCUGGCGGCAGGCUUAACACAUGCAAGUCGAACGGUAGCAGGAAGAAAGCUUGCUUUCUUUGCUGACGAGUGGCGGACGGGUGAGUAAUGCUUGGGAAUCUGGCUUAUGGAGGGGGAUAACUGUGGGAAACUGCAGCUAAUACCGCGUAUUCUCUGAGGAGGAAAGGGUGGGACCUUAGGGCCACCUGCCAUAAGAUGAGCCCAAGUGGGAUUAGGUAGUUGGUGGGGUAAAGGCCUACCAAGCCUGCGAUCUCUAGCUGGUCUGAGAGG
rnacentral:rRNA from 1 species